rnacentral:lncRNA from 1 species
GUGCGCCUCGUGCCCAAUAGGGGUAUCCCAAAGCGGGCAGAAUGCUCAUUAGGGGAAGGUGAGACACCUGGGGCAGAGAAAAAAAAAAACCGCGCCGCAAAGAAGCGGGACCUGGGUCCCCCACGGAUGAAAGUGUCUUCCCAUCAGCCCCUGCCCUGGGCCCCAUGGACCCUGGCAACCCUGGUUCGAGCCCCAGGUGUGCUUCGCGCCCGCUAGGGUUACCCAGAAGCCGGCAGAAGGCCCAUGAGAGGAAGGUAAGACACCUGGGGCAAAGGAAAAAAAAAACCGCGCUUGCAGAAAAGCGGGGCCUGGCUCCUCCACGGACGAAGGUGCCUUCCCAUCAGCCCCUGCGCUGGGCCCUGGGGAACCUGGUGUCCCUGGCUGGAAACCAGGGUGCACCUUGGACCCGCUAGGGGUACCCCAAGGAGAGCAGAAAGCCCAUGAGGGGAAGGUGAGGCACCUGCGGCAGAGAAAGAAGAAAAACCGCGCAGCGGAGAAGCGGGGCCUGGGUCCCCCACUGACGAAAGUGUCUUUCCGUCAGCCCUUGAGCUGGGUCCCGAGGACGCUGACAUCCCUGGUUCGAGCCCACGCUGCGCCUCAGGCUGCUACGAGUACCCCAAGGAGGAAAGAAGGCCCAAAAGUUUCAGCUGAGGUUUGAGGCAGGAGAGAUGAGGCACCUGUGGCAGAAAAAAAAAAAAAAAAAAAAAAAAACGCGCAGCGGAGAACUGGUGCCUGGGUCUCCCAGGGACGAAAGUGCCUUCCCAUCAGCCACUGCGCUUGGCCCCAUGGAACCUGGCCUCCAUGGUUCGAGCCCAGGGUGCGCCUCGGGCCGCUAGGGGUACCCCAAAGUGUGCAGAAGGCCCAUGAGGGGAAGCUCCUGCUUCAGGUGCAGAAACACAGCUAUUUCCAGUGCCAGCUGUUGAGCCAGUGCCAGCACCAGGGGCAGAGCCCCUUCCAGGGACAGCGCUGGAGCUAGAGGAACCUCCAGAGCCUUCCUGCCGCUGCCCUGGGACUGCACAGGACCAGCCCAGUGAGAAGCUGCCUGACUUCAUGGCACCUCCUGUAGAGCCACCGGCCUCAGCCCUGGAGCUGAAAGUGUGGCUGGAGCUAGAGGUGGCAGAGAGGGGGUGACCAGCACAGCUCCAGCCAGCAGCUCCCACACUGCUCCCAGUCCUGGGCACAGUGGAAGCUAUGGAGGCAGAGACCAGGGUGUGCAACCUGGGCUCCUCUGCCUCACUGGAGAGGGACUUCUCUCAUUCAGCAGAGCAGCAGCCCUGCUGCUGAAGGCCCUGCUGCUACUGCUGCUGGGGGUGUUUGCCUGCCUGCAGGAGGUGCUGGAGAGCAAGAAAAGGAGCCUGUGAGCAGGGGUUCCAGCAGGUCCUCCGGCUCCCAGAGGUGACCUCCUCCUCCAGGAAUGGAGGUUUGCCCUCAGCUGGGCAUCUGGGCCAUUUGCCUCUAAUGUGCUGCCCAGGAUGGCCUCUUCUUGACAGGUGGACAGGGGUUGAGGGGGCCAGGGGGCAUCUCCAAAGGAAGCUCUUAAACUCAGCAGCAGCACUCCAGAAUCUCCAUGCCUGCACCUGCCCAAGGAUUUAUUCAUAGCUUAACUAAGAAUUUCAAAUUUCUACCAUAACACUGAAAUAAAGUUUGACUUUUUGAAACUUC